rnacentral:misc_RNA from 1 species
GAUGAAGAACGCAGCGAAAUACGAUACGUAAUGUGAAUUGCAAAUUCAGUGAAUCAUCGAGUCUUUGAACGCACAUUGCGCCCCCUGGUAUUCCGGGGGGCAUGCCUGUCCGAGCGUCAUUGCUGCCCUCAAGCACGGCUUGUGUGUUGGGCCCCGUCCUCCGAUCCCGGGGGACGGGCCCGAAAGGCAGCGGCGGCACCGCGUCCGGUCCUCGAGCGUAUGGGGCUUUGUCACCCGCUCUGUAGGCCCGGCCGGCGCUUGCCGAUCAACCCAAAUUUUUUAUCCAGGUUGACCUCGGAUCAGGUAGGGAUACCCGCUGAACUUAAGCAUAUCAAUAAGCGGAGGA